AGGAGCCGUAUGAGGUGAAAAUCUCAUGUAAGGUUUUGGAACAGAGAAUUCUUUGAAUUGAAUGAUAACCGUAAUAAAUUUCGACUCAAU
rnacentral:ncRNA from 1 species